CGUACCGUGGUUUGGUGCGCAGGAAGGUCAACGACCACGCAGGCGGCGGAGUCGCGGCGGUGAUGAAUUUCGGCGAGAAAUUCCUUGGUCCCGGUCGAUGCUCUGGCCCAAGAAACCUUACCGGCAUCCUCGGGGUGUUACGACGAACAUCGGACGAUCCUGUCACUCCGAUUUCUGUCGUGGUCAGUGGAUAGUGGUGUGGAGGCUCACAGCUCCCCCUCGGUUCCUGUUGACGAUCGACCCCUACCUCGGCGACAUAUGGAAUUGGUUUGGAUUGGAAGGGAAGGGUGCCU
rnacentral:lncRNA from 7 species